rnacentral:lncRNA from 1 species
AGUUGGCAUAUAAACAAGGUUGACACCAGGACUACUACUUCAUUUCGUUGCUGCUUUUGUUCAUCCAUAAGUUCAGAUGGACAGGCCUUCAGUUUUCACAGUGCUGCAUUCCAGUAUUUUGGGUAGUAUUUAUUGUGUGGUAACUUUCUGACGUAGGCAUAGUUAGUAAAUGAACCAGGAACUAGCCGUUGACCCUCUCCUGCCCUCCUCCAAAAUUGCCUUCAGUUGUUAAAGUUGUGGAGCUUUUUCUUUUAACCCCCAUCUGAGGUCUCUUAAGGGCGAGGCAGGUGGUGAGAGAGUAGACCUUUCUGAUUUUUGUGUCCU